rnacentral:lncRNA from 1 species
ACAAGAUGGAUGGACCUGCUGGUCAUGUUUGUGUGUGUCUCACACUAGUAAUUCACUACUUCACUGAACACCGAGCCAGCAGCAGUUUGCAGGGAGGCUGCAGCUUGGACGCAUGUUGGUGGAAUCCAUGUAUUUUAAGGCCUCUUCAGGAAAAUAGAAUAGACAAGCAGGAUGUAUCUAAAGUAUCUAAAGCCUCCACAGUACCAGGCAGAAGUGAUGAAAUCAUGUGUCCCUUAAGUUUGGAGUAAAUGGACACUGCUGCCACUUUUAAGGAUGAAGACCAGACCCAUCCCUUAAAGGCUUUCACCAAAAUAGCAGGUCUCUGCUGCCAGUCAAGAGCCUGGUUCAGUUCUACACAGCCAUCAUUGAAUCAGUGAUCACCUCCUCCAUCACCAUGUGGUACCCUGGGGCCACUGCCAGGGACAGGACCGAAAGGUGAUUGGCUGGACCCUUCCACCUGUCCAGGACCUGCACAUGUCAAGGACCCUGCGACGUGCAGGUCGAAUCAUAGCUGAUCCCUUCCACCCUGGAUAUGGAUUCUUUGAGUCGGGCAGGCUGUUAAUUCAUCCAUCCAUUCCUUUUCUACCGCUUGUUCCCAUGCAGCUGGGGGGCUGGAGCCUACCCCAACUAGACCACCCCCUCUGUUAAUCCAUUUUACACUAAUAUUUAAAUUUUAAUUUUUUCAAUCUGCUAUUGCACAUACUGUACAUUGUCCUUUGAGGUGUCCCUGUGCUGCACACCACAUCUGUACUUCAUCUCACUGAUUCUGAUAUGCAAACUAAGUAAAUAUUUGUAUUUGUUAGGCCAUUUUAAGUAGAGACUUUUAAAUCAUGGACACACUAGAGCUGCUAAGUUCUAUGUACUUACAGCCAGUCUCUGGUUUAGAAGCUCCUGUUUCCACAUGUCUGAUGCGCUAAAUGGUUGACUUUAUAUUGUGAUUUUGUAUAGUGUAAACUCUGCACUUCUGGACAGGUCAUGUACUGAUGGACAGUUCAAAGGUCAACACACAUUGGAAUACAGGUUGGCAGUUGUUUUCA